UUAGUUGAGAUAUUUUUGCAGGAACCUUUCUUUGCAUUUUAGUCCAAUAGAAAUUUGUAGAAAAUAUAAAUGAAUCCGAUGAUUAUGGGAUAUUCUUGUUUCCUUUAAGGUGCCUACUCACGUUGUAAGGCUGAAGAACUUCGGUCUUCUAUUCUAUGGAUUAAUCAGCGUAGUCUUAAUAGUGUGUUAGUUGAGAUAUUUUUGCAGGAACCUUUCUUUGCAUUUUAGUCCAAUAGAAAUUUGUAGAAAAUAUAAAUGAAUCCGAUGAUUAUGGGAUAUUCUUGUUUCCUUUAAGGUGCCUACUCACGUUGUAAGGCUGAAGAACUUCGGUCUUCUAUUCUAUGGAUUAAUCAGCGU
rnacentral:misc_RNA from 1 species